AGUGAACGCUGGCGGUAGGCCUAACACAUGCAAGUCGAACGGCAGCACAGAGGAGCUUGCUCCUUGGGUGGCGAGUGGCGGACGGGUGAGGAAUACAUCGGAAUCUACUCUGUCGUGGGGGAUAACGUAGGGAAACUUACGCUAAUACCGCAUACGACCUACGGGUGAAAGCAGGGGAUCUUCGGACCUUGCGCGAUUGAAUGAGCCGAUGUCGGAUUAGCUAGUUGGCGGGGUAAAGGCCCACCAAGGCGACGAUCCGUAGCUGGUCUGAGAGGAUGAUCAGCCACACGGGAACUGAGACACGGUCCAGACUCCUACGGGAGGCAGCAGUGGGGAAUAUUGGACAAUGGGCGCAAGCCUGAUCCAGCCAUACCGCGUGGGUGAAGAAGGCCUUCGGGUUGUAAAGCCCUUUUGUUGGGAAAGAAAUCCAUCUGGUUAAUACCCGGGUGGGAUGACGGUACCCAAAGAAUAAGCACCGGCUAACUUCGUGUCAGCAGCCGCGGUAA
rnacentral:rRNA from 1 species